CAGCAUUUCAACUUGAGAGUUUGAUCCUGGCUCAGAACGAACGCUGGCGGCAGGCCUAACACAUGCAAGUCGAGCGCACCUUCGGGUGAGCGGCGGACGGGUUA
rnacentral:rRNA from 1 species